rnacentral:rRNA from 1 species
UCACCGCACUUCCAUCUUCGACGUCAAACCUUUUACCUCCCGCGGUAGUAGUCGAACUGGCUCCCGCGGCACGCGCCGGAGGACACGUUCGAGCCGCCAGAGGAGCGCGUCCUCUCGACCGGCCACGUCGCGGAGGUGCCGCUCCAGGUCAUGUAGUUCCUGCUCGAGCUCUCGUACUGCCGGAAGGAGGCGUCGGACCGGCUCAGCAGGCUGCCGGUGCUGCUGGUCCAGGCCCAGACCCACUUCGUCCACUCCCUCUAGCGGAUGCUGCGGCUCCUGACGUAGCUGCUGAUGCAGGCGCCGGUCGUCGGAAAGCUGUUUCUGCCGCCGCGGCAGUACCGCAGGGAGGCUGCGAAGCACGCAGACGAGCGGUGCGAUCCUAGUCCGCCACCAGCGGCAGUGGCCGCGUACCGCCGGGUCGAGGUUCUUGACUUCUGAGCGCGGUCCCUGCGGCCGCUCGCCGCAAGGUCCAUGCCCCACGAUGGCGGUUUCUGCCGCGAGCCCGCACGGUCGUCGGUGCGCAGACCGAGGCCGCAGAGGCCGGCGGACCUGGGCGCCGACGGGCGGGAGAAGUGGCUCCUCCGCGUCGACCACCCGUAGCUGCCCGGUUCCCUGCUCGAGCAGCCGACCGACUACCUCCUGCUGCGCUCCGAGGCCCACGAGCGGCAGCAGCCCAAGCCACCCGAGCCGUUCUGGUGCGACCGCUCCUACCACACGCCCUCGGGCGCUCACUUCCCGCGGCUGAAGGUCACGAGGGGCAACGAGUAGCAGAGCGUCUGCGAUUUGCAGUCCCGCGACAAGGACGUGUACGAGUCCCUUGACUGGGUCGCCGGGGCGAACCGACGGCCGCUGCUAUGGUACCUACAUUCGAACGUGCCCUACCUCUUGACCCUUUGCCGCGACGACCGGUCGUUCGAGUCCGCGAUGGACGUUCUGUUUUCCAUGUAGCACUAAGAGCUACUGUAUACCUGAAGCAGCCGUACCCUCUUGUAGUCUACACACAAAGGACUGUUACUUUUUUCCUUCGUCCUAAUAUCAUUGGUGAUCCUUGCCCCUACAGCGAUUAUGUACAACAACAGUAAGGGUUCUAGCCUAAAUGUUUUAGGUUGCGGAUAGACUCUAACGUAGUGCGCUCGAUAAGAAGUUCUCCUAGAAACCGAAUCAUCUACCUAACGGGUUGUUACUCAACCUCCUUCAAAGUUUACGGUAUGAGUUCUUUACACCUCCGAAUGGUAAUCGUUAUCAGUCGUAACCAUCGGAAGAGCGAUCGUUUGGUUUGUCUUGGUUUGUUCUCACCGUCUUCCAAAGACUAUUGAACCCGAGACUUGAACUUAAUUUAGGAUGUGAACUUCCCUGUUUCGUUCAGAAUAGAAACUCAAUGUUACUAGACGGUAUGGUAGACUUCCGAACGAAGAACAUAGAUUCAUAUAAAGAAGUUUUAAUACACUAGUUCUCCCCUGGAAACGACUCUUACACCUAUCGGCUUCCUAAAUAGUGGGGUUUUGUACCUGAAUCAUACCUCCUCCAACGACUUUCUAUGAAACUGCUCAAGCAUCGGUCUUCGUACCACGUAGGACACUUUUAACUAACCUCACCGUUCCACUCUUCAACAGCUCAAGUACUAUAUUACCAACUCCAGUAGUACAGGUUCAGUGAACUCCUCUUGAAGCGUAGUAUGAAGACACUUUUACCUUGGUGUGACCUAAGGGUACUGUUUUAUGCGGCGGAGAGUAAGGUCUCGUCGUCCGUGAGUCACGUCUCUUGUUUGCGAUCACAUCGAGUACAAGCGUGCAAAUCUUACAGUGGAAGGUACCUCCUUUAGGGUAAGAAGAAGCGUGUAAACUCCAACAAUUCUCACAACCUAUACGUUCCGUCGUCGACGAACUCAUUGUUCCUAGAUCUGACGUAGACAACAAAAAAGGUCGACUUAAUAGAUUCGGAGUCUUUAUGGUUAUAAAGGUUUAACGGCUCUAAGUAUCCGGUAGAUUUAAUGAACCUCUGUGAUCUAUAGUCUCUUUGUGAAUAAUUCUUCGAUGGUCCAUCACGGUUCUCGGACCGUGUAGACUUCGUAAACGAUCAACCCGUAUUCUGUGUAGAAUGAUCCUGUCCAUCACACUUCAAGAAGUUUCCUAAGACACCGGAUCUUUACUGUGGACCCCAAGAGUACUUGUACUGUAGGGAAGUUAGUAAUACGGUAUAUCUCUAUUUUUCCCUGGGUAGGCACAAGGUCCUCUAUUCGUUCAAUUCUUUAGAUUUCUUCAACUUGUAAGAGAAGGUACUCCAUCUCCACUUGACCUUUGGAACACACCUUAGUAAUUCGUUAAACAGCCCGAGACACGCGAGCGAAAGGUAGUUUUAUAAACUACCUCUACCUUCGUAGAGUAGCCUCCUUUACAAUAGAAGCCACCUCAGUGGAGGAGAGAACCAGUGGUCGAAACCGGACUGCCCGUUCGACCUCGCGAAUGGAGCUACCCACCGUAGUGAAUCUUUGCAGAGCUGCAAAUGAGAAGCGUUCUUGCCCGACGCCCGGCUGCGGUAUCUACAGGAACCUCUGAACGGUUCAGACGAGACGGAGUUCGACAUAGUGUUUAGUAUACGGCUACUGACGGAGUAUAAGGGUGCGCCAUUUAAAAACUUUCAGUUCGACAACCAAUAACUGUUGGAUCUCUUGUAACUGUUCCACACGAAGCUCCUACCAAGCCACGGUACAGAACUCUCCGAAUGCAACAGUAAGGACUCCCUCGGGUUCAUACCCUAGAGACCAGAACUAUUAGAAGACUUCGACUCCCUCUAUCUCAAGAAACCAUUGUAGUAUGAUAGGGACCACUGAUUUCACUGUAGCAGGCACUUCUGUGUAGGUUUAGUAGGUUCUCAUUAUCCACUGUUUACCUUAUAACACUGACUCAUAAGAAUCCAUUCGUUUAUUUCACACCAGAUAGAACAAUAGCGUAACUUUCCAACGUACCACCACGAUUUAGUUCUGAGAAAAAUUAAGUGUCCCAUUAUUAAGCCAUCCUCCAUCGGGCGUCGCGUCGUAUAAAAACACGUACAUGUAUAUGAGAAGACUAAAAUUCGCUCAGUAUCACAACGGUCAAAGCAGACGUGUAAUACUAAUGAAACAGUUUAGAAACACAUAAUUUUCUUUUUUUUUGAUCACACUCAAAAACAUAUUACUAAUAGAUAACAUACUGCACCUCACCCGACAUCACGCCACGUGAGAACAAGCAAAGUAGACAUCGAGGACUGGUAUGAAGGAUGUCAAAAUAGAUUGUACCAACACUAAGAUACAAGACUCAAAACUGAUCCUUGGUAAAAAAUCAGUGAGUGUGGUGAUAAAAUCGUUAAAACAGCUAUCGAAUCUAGCUGUCGCUAGUGCGCGGAACUGCAAGU